CGAGUGAAGAGGGAAAAGCUCAAAUUUUGAAUCUGGUGUCUUUGACUCCCGAGUUGUAAUCUAGAGAAGUGUUUUCCGCGUCGGACCGUGCACAAGUUCCCUGGAACGGGGCGUCAUAGAGGGUGAGAAUCCCGUAUAUGGCACGGACCGCCGAUGCUCUGUGAUACACUCUCAACGAGUCGAGUUGUUUGGGAAUGCAGCUCAAAAUGGGUGGUAAAUUCCAUCUAAAGCUAAAUAUUGGCGAGAGACCGAUAGCGAACGAGUACCGUGAGGGAAAGAUGAAAAGCACUUUGGAAAGAGAGUGAAACAGUACGUGAAAUUGUUGAAAGGGAAGCGUUUGAAGUCAGUCGUAUCUGGCGGGAUUCAGCUUGGCUUUUGCCUGGUGUACUUCCCGUCCGAUGGGUCAGCAUCAAUUUCGACCGAGGGAAAAAGACACGCGGAAUGUGGCUGUCUUCGGGCAGUGUUAUAGCCCCGUGUUGUAUGCCUCGGUUGGGAUUGAGGAACGCAGCGCGCCUAAGGCCAGGGCUCCCGCCUUUGACACGCGCUUAGGAUGCUGGCA
rnacentral:rRNA from 1 species